UGUUAAGGAACUGCUCGUUCUCUCGAAAUUUUCUACUUACCUGCAGUCCCUGCAACGAAUUGUAUAUAUUAAUAGGACUUUCAGUAUCCAAUACCCAGGUAGUAGUAUCACAAACAGAGAAAUUAUAAGAUGUUAUCAUAUAAGUACCUUGUAAAGCAACCGCUUGCUUUUUUCUCUUAUUUUUAAGCCUGUUUAGGUCAAGGGUGGCUAUAUAAGCAGGACAAUUCUUUUUUCAAUGGCCCAGCUUCUUGUAGAAGAAGUACUCUACCUGGCUCUUGUCAACUUUUGACAGUUUGCUCUACUUGGGAUCGGCGGCACGGGAUUUCUGUACUUUUUUUUUCUUUUCUCUCCUAGAGGAUCGAUGCCCUGUAGAUAAACCUCCCACUAAAUUCACUGAUUCUUUCUGGAGCUGGUGAUCCUUCUUAAAAGUCUGCAGUAACCCUAGCAAAUCAUGGUAGUUUAUCGCAGG
rnacentral:lncRNA from 1 species